rnacentral:rRNA from 1 species
UACGUAGGGGGCUAGCGUUGUCCGGAAUCAUUGGGCGUAAAGCGCGUGUAGGCGGCCCGGUAAGUCCGCUGUGAAAGUCGGGGGCUCAACCCUCGAAUGCCGGUGGAUACUGUCGGGCUAGAGUGCGGGAGAGGCGAGUGGAAUUCCUGGGUGUAGCGGUGAAAUGCGCAGAUAUCAGGAGGAACACCAAUUGCGAAGGCAGCUCGCUGGGACGUUACUGACGCUGAGACGCGAAAGCGUGGGGAGCAAACAGG